UACGAAGGGGGCUAGCGUUGCUCGGAAUUACUGGGCGUAAAGGGCGCGUAGGCGGACAGUUUAGUCAGAGGUGAAAACCCAGGGCUCAACCCUGGAAUUGCCUUUGAUACUGGCUGUCUUGAGUACGGGAGAGGUGUGUGGAACUCCGAGUGUAGAGGUGAAAUUCGUAGAUAUUCGGAAGAACACCAGUGGCGAAGGCGACACACUGGCCCGUUACUGACGCUGAGGCGCGAAAGCGUGGGGAGCAAACAGG
rnacentral:rRNA from 1 species